GAGCUGCUUGUUCCGACUGAGGCUUUGAGAUGCAAGAGAAAAUAUUCCAAGUAUCCAGAACCAAUUUCAGGACACCUCUCACUCCAAGGGGAGAGAGAAGAGAGUGAGAGUGGACUAGGGAAGUGAAUCUGUGAUAAGAAUUUCCCUGAAGGGAAAGCAGGGACUCGAACAGAUACUUGAAUAUCCACGUUCAUGGCAGCAUUAUUCACAAUAGUCAAAAAAUGGAAGCAACCUAAGUGAUCACUGACGUCUGCAUGCAUAAACAAAAUGUGGAAUGUACACACAGUGGAAUAUUACUCAGCCUUAAAAAAGAAAGGAAAUUCUACGCGUGCUGCAUCGUGGAUGAACCUUGGACAGAUUAUGCUGCUAAAGAAGCCACUCACAAAGGUUAGAAGAGUGAGACUCAAAGAUGUGAGCUGACUUUUCCAAGAUUAUUUGGGAGUUGGUGGCAGACCUAUGCCCGUUAGCCUGGCAAAUUGCCACAGUGGUCUAGAGAAGCAAGUUUUGCA
rnacentral:sRNA from 1 species